GACGAACGCUGGCGGCGUGCCUAAUACAUGCAAGUUGAGCGCUGAAGGUUGGUACUUGUACCAACUGGAUGAGCAGCGAACGGGUGAGUAACGCGUGGGUAAUCUGCCUUUGAGCGGGGGACAACAUUGGGAAACGAAUGCUAAUACCGCAUAAAAACUUUAAACACAAGUUUUAAGUUUGAAAGAUGCAAUUGCAUCACUCAAAGAUGAUCCCGCGUUGGAUUAGCUAGUUGGUGAGGUAAAGGCUCACCAAGGCGAUGAUACAUAGCCGACCUGAGAGGGUGAUCGGCCACAUUGGGACUGAGACACCGCCCAAACUCCUACGGGAGGCAGCAGUAGGGAAUCCUCGGCAAUGGACGAAAGUCUGACCGAGCAACGCCGCGUGAGGGAAGAAGGGUUUCGGAUCGUAAAACUCUGUUGGUAGAGAAGAACGUUGGUGGGAGUGGAAAGCUCAUCAAGUGACGGUAACUACCCAGAAAGGGACGGCUAACUACGUG
rnacentral:rRNA from 1 species